ACCUGAGGUAAGUAGGAUAGUUAGCAUUUGGGAGCUUAGGCUCUAGAGCCUGGCAGACUAGAUUUCUGGUCCUUUCUGCCACUUGCUAGCUAUGAGGUUGGGAAUUUAUUUAACCCCUCUGGGUCCAGUGAUGCAAAAUCUACGUGCUUACACCCAAGUACCUAGUAUAAGAUCUGCCGUAUCCUUGUCAUGCAAUAAAUAUUGGACAAUGUGUGUGUAAUCGUAUCUACCCUAUAUGGGCAUUUUUGUGCAGACAGAUUGCAAAAAGCCAGGUAGGACAUUUCAUGUAUUGCCUGGUAUAUAUAAUAUAAUUAUGAGCAUACUUAUUACUGCACUUAUUUUUAAAAUAUGCAAGCAUUUGAUUUUCUGUAGCCAUUUGAUCUUACUACGUUAAACGAUGUCCCUCGUGUUGCUACCACGCUGGGAACUGCUGUGAAUGCUGGGGCAUAUUUUGUGAGCUCCCAUCAUAGUGGCUGGCAUUAAACAUGCUCCCGAGAUAGGUUAAGUAAGUGAGUCGCUUGCGGAAUCUUAAAGUGGGAGCUCACCUUACUGAACAUCUAGUCUAGCCUGUAGAUUUUAUAGGCACAGCCUAUAAAUCUUUUUGGGACCAAGUAGAAAUCGCUGUAGCAGCAUGGCAUUUUGUUAACGAGGAUGCUGUGGCCCAGGGAGGCUAGGUGGUUUGGGCUGGGCAACCCAGUGUGUGAUGACUAAACCAGAAGUAUAGCCCAGGUCACGCAGUUCCCAGGGUGGUGGCAACCAAGCCUUCCCUUCCAGGGACAAGGGUGGCUAGCCAGUUGUAGAGCCUGGGGGCCGCUGUGUGAGAUGUGACUUUCUCAUUUUGCAGUCUCCAGGGGCUUCAGUGUCUUUUCGGAGGAAGAGCUACAACCUGAGGCCUGGAAUCUGAGGUCGGGGUUGUCACAAGGGGGUUGAGCCCAAAUUCUAGAGCCGUGGGUUCCGAGGUAGAAUUCUUGACAGUUCCAAGUAGGAUUCCGGACUCCACCUGAAUUUCUCAAACACCAGCCCGGGAUUUGAGAGCUGGAGAAGCCCUGAGCAUCAGCAGUCACGAUAGGUUGUGGGAAAGGCACGUGAAAAGUGACGGGAAUGAGAUGAGGGAGGUGUCGAGGAGCAAGAAUUCCCGUCCCCUUGAAGGUCCUUGUAGCUGGAUUAGGAAUCAGAUUGACACGAGACAGAAUAACAGGAGAAAACCAAAUUUUACAGGUGUGUAUAAUGGGACAUCCACAUAGACAUGGAAAUUCCAAAGACCAUCAGGCAGCAUGGAGUAUAUAUGUCAUCCUGAAACUAAGGGGAAGGGGUAAGAGUCUGGGACUCCAGAGGAAAGGAGUGUACUUCACGGGACCAUAAGAGGAACAGACGUUUGGUAAUUAGAUGUUUGCCCUGCCAUACAGAUGGGCCACUCCGAGAAAAACUGAUCUGUUAAUAACCCUUAUUCUGGGGAAGACCCCCAAUUUAGAUUCUUCUGUGUGGUUAAGGGUGGGAGAAAAGUUUCUCUUCAGCCCGCAGGGACUCAAUUGCCUUCAGCUCAAAAUAAUCCACAUGCUCACGUGACACUUUCUGGGUUGGGGGGCUUUCCUGAACACCGUCAGAAUCAGGGCAUUUGUUGGGGGCGGGGAGUGGAAGUUCUGCUCCUUAGACAGGCCAUCCUUACUGUUUACAGCUGGUGUGCUGGUUAAUCCGAGGGGAUUUGCAUAGAUGCGGGGACCAGGGAAGAGAAGAUUUGGGGACCCUGGGGGACAGCAGAGCAAGAAGUGGGAAGGGUGUGUGAGGGCCUGCAUCCAAGAAGCUUCCAGUCUCAUGGCCCCUUCCAUCCUGAUUUGCUAUAACCCCUUUCCCUUGGGGCUUGAAUCCAGGGAACUCUUAGGGAAAGACCUGACACAUGACAGGGACUCAGUAGGUAUUUGAUGAAUGAAUGAAUGAAUCCAUGAAUGAAAAGAAUUUUAGAGCUAAAAGGGACUGUAAUGGGCCUCAAGUGAUGGCUAUAACCAACACCAUUCAAUUAUUAAUUCCAAUAAAGCAACUCUCAAAGCACUAACAGAAGCUUGAAAAUGGAGAAUUUCUAAUCACCAACAUGCUUGCUGUCAAAGUCAUGAUGGUGGCCUGCUUGGGACCUGUCCCCCUCUUCUGCAGCUGCCUCAGGGAGAUGAGAAGGCUUCGGUGUAGGAGCCCAGUGCAGCAGGGGGAACAUCUGUGGCAAAGUCGGCCGUGUCUAGGUAAUUCUUCGGUUUGCACAAUGCAAUCUACAGAGGGGCCUUCUUUUGAUGAUGUUGGCGAUAAUGAUAUCAGAUUGUAUGGAGAAGGGCAGAGAAAAGCCGCGAUUAGUUCCAAGAGGGAGGCAUUGAGCGGCAGAGACGGAAUCUCCUCCAGCCCUCCCUGGGACGGGGUCUCGCUGUCAGCUAGCGGCAAUAUAGUCUCCUUAAUAUGACAAAUCGGAGCUCCUGCCGUACUUUACUGCCUGCAUGUUAAUGAGCCGAGCCCGUGUAACAGAGCCAUUUGGUGGAGGGAGUUUACAAACAACUUGGUUUUGAGAUACUCAGAGAGAGAGGGAGAGAAGGAAGAUGAGGUUGCAUUGAGAGCCGUAGGUCUGACGGAGGAGGCAGCCUCCCUACAAGCCUUGGGACUCAAGGAGAGCCCCCUGGAAGAGUCUUUGCUCUUGGAGUGGCCAUGCAAAGAGAGCCGGGGGAGACCUCUAAGACUCUGAGAUUGCAUUUCACUGAAGGACCCGAUUCAUUAAAAUGAUGUAGAAAACACUCUUCAGGGGGCGCCCAGGUGGCUUAGUGGGUUGAGCGUCCAAAUUCGGCUCAGGUCAUGAUCUGGCGGUCUGUGGGUUCGAGCCCCGUAUCGGGCUCUGUGCCGACAGCUCGGAGCCUGGAGCCUGCCUCAGAUUCUGUGUCUCCCUCUCUCUGCCCCUUCCCCACUCAUGUUCUCUCUCUUUGUCAAAAAUAAAUAAACGUUAAAAAAAAAACAAAACACUCUCCAGCACGUGCUACAAGAUUCCCAGGGUGAAUGCAGGUCACUGUCCCCAUCUGGCUGCCACUCUGUGGUGCUUGAGUGACCCUCUCCAGCUGGAAGAGCAGGGGAGAGAAUGGGACCUAGGCUUUCACAGAAUGGGUCAGCCUGUUUUCUGAAUCCAAGGUUAGGAUAAUGUCCAGAUUCCUUAUCACCAGGCUCGUGAGGUCACUUUGUUAUCUCGACAGGGUGAAACAGUGGCCAGUGUGAGUGAGCCCUUUGGAACACUAGAGAUCUUGUCAUAAUGACGACGAUGAUGGCGACGGUUAUGAUGAUGAUGGUGACAAUGUCACAUAACAUGUACUCCGUGCUUACCAGGUGCCAGACCCGGCAGUAGGGGUUUUAGAUGCAUGUAUCAUUUAAUCCUUACUCAACUAAGUGCUUGAUAAUACUGUUAUUCCAUUUUUAUGAUGAGUAAAGUAAGGUUCGAAGAGUUCAGUAUCUUGAUCACAGUUACAAAUCUCCUUAGUGAUGUCGCAUGCAGAAGUAUCAAUCAUUGGAAGAACAUGUAUGGAGCCUCCUUGAAGGAUGUUGUAUUACAGAAUACUUGAACUAGAAGGAAUCUGGACAUGAUCUGGCCCAACCUUUCUCACUAUCCAGGUGGAAAAACCAUCAGCCUGGAAAACAGAAGUGACCUCUGCAAGGCUAGGCCACCAGAAAAUGGCAAAGCUGGGGUUAAAGUCCAGAUCUUCUGAAUUCCAGUGCUUUGUUCCUCUGUGGCACCCUCAUUGUCUUUCAGUUUGGAGUGUUGCAGGAUUUUAAUUUUUAGGUGAUUCUGAUUAUCAACCAGAGUUGGAGCCACUACUGAAGGCUCUGAUGUCAUCGGGCAAACACAGAAGCAGGUGGAAAGAUCAGCGAACGAGGAGAGCCAGUUAAAUGCAAAAAACGGUGAUAGAGGGCUUUUGGGUGGUUUUUUGUUUUGUCUUUUGCUAUAACCCCUGGGCUCCUGCCAACGAUGAUGCUGAGGGUGAUUCCAAUGUUGAGGGACAAGAGAAAAUGGACUUCUGGGUAAGAUCCAUUAUCUUAAUGCAGAUGAAAUUUUCAGUAAUUACAACUUCUUGUCAAACAUGCAGGCUCAAUUGAAAUAAAGUCGUGAAUGGUGCCAGGAUUAUCUAGAUCAAUUCUCCUGUAUGUGUUAUCCCUGGUAGUCUCUCGAGAGAUAAAGCACCCCUCAUGCUAGGUAAUUAUGUGGAUAAGUGUGGCAAUUCCACAGUAACCCAGCCAUAAGUGAAUUCAGUGGGAACAAUUCAGGCUGAUGUAGCUGGAGGAGAGGAGGGGACCAGAGCAAAGUCCAGAUAGCAUUGUGACAGUCAUGGCCUCAUUUGUGCUGUCAGCAAUAAAGCACUAAAUCACUGCCUAUAGGAGGUAGGCACAAGGGUAAGUUAAAAGAAUUCUAGACCAUCCCUCAGUUUUCCAACUGGCAGAUUCCCGAAAUGCGGCACUUAUGAGCCAUGUGACCGGAAGAACAUGGCAAACUCAAUAUUAAGAACAUGGCCUUGGCAUGUAAGAUCAGUGUGUGGCUCCUCUUGGUAAAGCAGAGAAUGAACACGCACAUGUGUGAGCAUACACACACACACACACACACACACACACACACACACACACAGAGUCCAUCAAAACGGGGAGAAGUUACUUCUCAAUGUUGUAAAUUUAAAUGAAGUCCGGAGUAGUGAAGGCCAUUUGUAAGGUCUGCUGAGCUAAUGGAUUCAUAAUGACUUUUCAAGCUUCGCUCGGGACCAUCUUCUAUUUCCAACCAGUGGCAGCUACUGUUUUCUUGACCUAUUAAGGUGACUCCGGAAAGUGUUGGUGGUCCAAUGUAUCUCAUUUUCUUAAUUGCCAGCCUCCUGCAGGUACAACCUUCUGAACAUGUCAUAAAUCCAGUAGACUGAAUGACUCCAGGAGCUCAGCAAAAAAGGCUACAGUUUUUUUGUUUCCACUGAGACCGGGGUUGUGAGUAGUAAUAAACUCAGCAGUCAAGGUCAGAAAUGUGAUAAUAGGGGGAAAUGAGAAGAGCGACAGAAAAGAAAGCAAGGCCAGAAAGAUGCUCAACUCUCCUUGCUUUGCUGAGUUUUCAAAUUCAUUAGCAACCUCGACUAUUCAGUUCUUCAAUUUUAAUCUCUAAUUAAACACUGCCACAGACUGUAUCUGCGGAGGGUGGAAUUUAAGUGGCCUCUUCUUAAUAAUUGUGCAACUAUGAUCCUUGUAUUGUUAACCCCCCAAAAGAAAGAAAAACAAGUCUAUUAAAAAAAGACAGGAAGGAAGGAAAAACAUGAGUGUGUAAACCUCAUACCAAAUGGUAAUUGUAGAGGGAUGUUAUUUUCCUUCUUUUUUAAAAAAAUUUUUUUAAUGUUUUUAUUUUUUUUGAAGGGGAAAGAGAGACAGAGCAUGAGCGGGGGAGGAGCAGAGAUAGAGGGAAGCACAAAAUUCGAAGCAGGCUCCAGGCUCCGAGCCAUCAGCACCGAACCCGAUGCGGGGCUCGGACCCAGAAACCGUGAGAUCAUGACCUGAGCCGAAGCCGGACGCUCAACCCACUGAGCCACCUAGGCGCCCCUAUUUUCUUUCUAAAUAUAGCAAAAAUGACUACAAGGCUUCCAGCAUUUUUCUAUAAUAAUUUCUUAAAUCAAAAGCAUAUUUGCAGAUAAGAAAGUGCUUUACCACAGCUAUUCUUUUUCGAAUAAUUAGACAAGCAAGAAGCCAACAGGCAGGAGUACAAUAUGGUGCUGGGUGAAUGAUGGUACUAUUUUUUGCUUAUUUCACAAGGUCAAAGAAUCCUGUAAGCUUCUUUACAAGAUUAUUAUUAUUCAAGUGAAGGAAUCGAGUAAAUAUAGCAAAGACGUUGGAUGGUAGCAUUUUGGUAACCAGAUUUCUGUUUAUUUAAAGAAAAGAGAGAGGGAAGUCACAUCCACAUAUCCUCCAAAAGAAAUGUGAUUAAAACACAGGUUGGAGGAAAACAGAAUGCCAGACUGCAUCUUUUCCGUGAUUGGAACUAGAUUUUUCCAUACAAAAUAUUGGAAGGAAACUGCAUCCUAGCGCUUGCCCAGCUUUCUGUCCACUUUCUCACACGCUAUAUUUAUCUCCAGUUUUCCCAUUCAUCUGCCCCAACAGAUUGUGGAUUCGUAAGGAAUCGCAGGAAUCUUCUGUAGCCACAGGAAUCGGCACUUGGCCUGACCACACAGCUGGUACCAAACAAAUGCUUGUUUAAAGAAUUUGCCACAUCAGGGUGGUAGAGUUAUGAGUACAUUCUUCUGAAUUCCCUUUUAUAAACUCAUUUCACAGGAAAUACACACUUUAAAGUGAAGAGCAAAUCUGCAUGAUGUAAAUGCUGUGUGUGUGUGCGUACAUAUUUCAAAUAGAAUAUUCAAUGCAAAGAAUCAAACUAAGAGUAAGCCAUAAGUUUUUAACAAGGGGAAGGAACCCCAAUGAAGACACAAAAGUAUGUUCCAUCCACCCAGGAACUGAGUCUUCUUGUCACUUAUCUAGACCCCUCUACACAGUGGGUGGUGUUUCCUUGCUAGUGUCACCCACAACACCUUUAGGUGGACCAGUUGGUUGGCCGACAGAACCCAAAGCCCUCUGCAUGUUCCAUGAUGGUCACACCACCAGAGCAAGGCUCUGUGGGUGUCCCUGAUGGAAGAGUGACACCUAGGAUCCAGGAUGUGCUUUGUAGGCCCCAGCGUGCUGGGCACUGGGGGGUGUUAUUCCUUGUGCUGUGGAAGAAAAGAAUGGGGCCACAGAGCCUCCGCUCCACUGCUCAUGAGACAUUUCAUGCUGAGGUGGGGGUGUCCCAGCUGGGGUCACUUUAGCUGUGAACUCUAGGAUGGCCUCAGUGCCAGGCAGACUCAUUGGUUGUUUCUUUGUUUCAAGAAGGACAACACGUUAUUGAACGAGUUUAUACUGGGCACCCUCCAGAUGCAUGUAUUUGACUGAGACUGUCAAGUGACAAAAGGACCUUUUCAAUCUCUACCCUCCAGAAGUCUACAGUUAUGUAGGGACAAUGAAUUGAAAUUACAGAUCCACGUUUGGGGACUAGUCUUCCUGUUUUCAGCAUCAUAUAUGGUGGCUUCAGACACUCAAGUUGGGACUUACAUAGGGAGGGCUAUGGUUCAGAUGAUUGGAUGGGAUAUAGAGGGCUUUUAGGCCCAUUAAGAGGUUCCCUGCAGGGUGGUGAUUGUCCCAAGCCAUCCUCCAUUCUUUGGUCACUAUCGUGUGUUUCCUGGCUAAUUGAAUUGCCCCGGGGCUCCUUCUGACUCUUCACAUUGGCUUCCCAAGAGAAUGGGGCUGCAUUUGCUGAGACAGGGCAGAUUUUCCAGCCUAGCAACUCUCUCCUCUUCAAGAAGCCCCUCCUCCCGCAAGGGAAAGGGGAUAACUUCUUGCUGCAAGGGUGACAACAGGUCCUUUGUCAGCUCUUCCCACAGAACAGAAAAAUGAUGAAAGCGGAACACUAAUAAGAAUCUGUAACCUGAAGCAGGUCCCGUGUCCUGGCCCUGGUUCCUGGUUCCACAUUUUGGUCUUUGCCAUUGAGUUCCACGUUGAGUCUCCUCCAGCUUCCUCUCUUGUCCUCUUCCUCUCCCAACCUGCCCUCUUUCCCUAUAGCUUCCAAGAAAAAGCAAUUACUCGACUUAACUUGUAACUGUUUUGAAAGCAUCUUUAAAUCAGUGCAGUGCAUUCCCUCCAACAGAAUACUCUGAGAGAGCUCAACAGCCCUGAAGAUAUACAAUCAAUACUUUGCCUGAACCAUUGAUACCCUUGCCCAUCACUUAAAUAUCAUUACAGGAAAGAUUUCAACAAGAUCACGGCACAUUAUACUUUAAAGUUUGACUUUAAAGGAUGCCUGGGCUUUGCUGAAAGGCAUUAGUAAUGGAAUUCUUUAUCUCUGAGCUUAAUUUAUUCUAAGGAGAAUAGGGCCAUUAUCUUAAAUCUAUUUUUUUUUUCCAACAGAGAAAACAGGCCUCAGAAGUCCAGCACUUAUAAAGAAAUCAUUGUUUAAUUACUUUUCUGUUUAACUCUUUGCAGAAAGAAGGGAAUGUGAGCACGUUAUUAGAAGACGAAUGUGUAGUCCUGGGUUGUCAUCGGUAGACUUGUAAUGUCUUUUUUUGUCAUUUCUGUUCCCAUGCAUCUCUGCAUUUCGCACAUCUGAGAACCCUACAGACAAGACGUUUGGGUAGUUCUGAACCCCAACUGAAUCCACCUCCUCCUCCAUCAUUGGUGGUGGAGGGAUCUUUGGUUUAAGAAUGCAGGGAUGGGUAACCAAAGGAGUAAUGUCCUGGUGUUAAGCUACUUGCUACGCAUUAGGCACAUGAGAACUGUGUGUUUGCACACAUGGGAACAGACACGCUUGCGUUUAGCGCCUUGACUCUGGCAGUGUGUCUCCACCGUGCAAAACAGCUUGUUUGAGGAGCAGAGAAAAUGAUCGAUCAACUGGCUGUUCCUUUCACAGAGCACCAACCACCAAUCAAUCAAUAUGACUCUUCGUAGCUUCCCUCCACCAGCAAAUCUGCAUAACUGAAGAGUGGUGAUAGCUUUGUGGAAGGAGGUUUGUGUUCUGGAAGAGUCUCUGAGAAGCUGUCAUGUAUCUACAGCUUCUUCCAGGGCCUCUACUUGCUCACUUUUUCUGGUGUAACAUGUAGAACGCAGCCCCUGGGUCUCCAUGGCACAUCUUGGGCCAGGUUUGAGGAUCACCUGUGAGCUAAAGGAUGUAUCCAAAUGUUGUAGAACAGGAACUGAUACUUCACUAGCCCUAGGCUUAAUCAGUGUCCCAACUCAGCCCUUUGCUUGUGGCCCCUUUCCCUACAGCUGCUUCUAGAACCUCAGCCCUGGGAAUCUUCUCAUUGGGCAUGCCAGUUGGUAAGAAUGGCAUGGCUUUCCCAAGGUUGGGGUGGUCCAUCUUUGAGGAAGUUCUGUCUUGCACUGCAUUUUUGCAAAUCGGUUAGAUGGGAGAGAGAAAAGUAGACACCAUGACAUUUCCAGGAACAGGAAGUUUAUCAGUGUUCCACAACUGACUUUUUAGCUUCUUCCUUUCCUUUCUCAUGAUUUAGUGCCACUUUUUUUUUCUACUGCUAUUAUCAGAGAUUUUUUUGUUUAGUGGUUACUGGGUCACAUUUUCACAAGUGCAAAUAACUGAUGACCUCCAUCUACUUGGCUGUCUUCAUGUCUGUAAGGAGUGACAGGCUAUAAAGAAUUCAGACAGGGUCCUGUUUUGAUCAGCAUUUCCAGGUGAUCAUUAUACCCAAGUCACAAAGUCAGUGCCCUUCCCAAAUUAGAGCCAUAUAUAUAGGAAAUCUCCUUUUUACAAGAGUGUUGUGCAUCUCUUGGAUUUGUUUCCAUUCUGGGAGGUCAGUUAGUUUGUAAUGGUCUCUAAUUGACCUUCUACCUUCUGUUAGCCUUUACUACCUGAUAGUCACAGGGAGCUCAAGAAUGGGAGAGAUUUUCCACCUGCUUUUGAAUCCCCUCAUUUUAUGGCAUCGUUACUGGUAUAUAUAAGAUAAGUAGAUGCAGAGAACAGUUGAAAGAGGGAGCCUGGAUUGUAGCCAUCAGAAUCACCAUUUAUGUCGGUAUUUACUUUGUGUUCUAAGUUAUGUGCUAUUUUAAAAAUUGAAUGUAAGCUGCAAAGACCUGGGGUUAAUCAUAGUUCUCAGCUUAUGGUGUUGUAUUCUCACCCACCUAAGAAGAACUCUCUGGUCUAGACUUUUCUACCUUUAUCUGUGGUCCUCUUUCCUAUAUCCCUUCCUCUUCCCAUAGGUAACUUUUCUGUGUUUGACAUAUGUGUAUGAAUACAUGUAAAUAUAUGACUGCGAAAUAUGUAGCAUUUUCUGUGUGAAUGAUUUUUAACGUUUAUUUAUUUUGAGAGAAAGAGAGGGAGAGAGAGAGAGAGAGAGAGAGCACUGGAGGGUCAGAGAGGGAGGAAGAAAGAGAGUCCAAAGCAGGCUCCGCAAUCAGCACAGAGCCCAACGUGGGGCUGAUCUCAUGAACUGUGUGGCAUCAUGAUCUGGGCUGAAAUCAAGUCAGACGCUUAACCAACUGAGUCACCCAGGCGCCCCGUGAAUGAUUCUAACUUAUCUAAAUGACACUGCACUACGUAUAUAAUUCUGUUUCUUCUUCCACCCGACUCUGCUUUUAAGAAUCACUUGUAUGUUUAGAUAUUUACCUGGUUAUUGUUUCUAAUUGACGUACUCCCAAAGUUUCCCUUAUCCGUUCCCCUUUGAUGGAUCUCUAGGUUGCUUCUAGCUCCGUUCCCCAUCCCGUGAACCUCUUUGACAAUUCUGGCAUUCGUACCACCGGAUGAGAUUUCUUCGGAUACCAGAUUUCAUUAAGUAGUGCCUGGUGUAUUUUUAAAUAAUUGAAACAUUUUAUUAAAUAUUAUUUUAAAUAUUAUUAUUAUUAAUAGUAUUAUAUUAUUAACAUUAUAUUAUUAAUAAAUAACAUAUUGUUAUAUUAUUAUUUUAAAUAAAUACUAUUUUAAAUAAUAAUAUUUUUAAAUAAUUUGUAUCCUCCCCAUUAGUUCGCGGGGGUCCCGAUUUCCCCGCAGGCUCCCUGGCCCUCGGUAUCCCCAACUUCUCUUAUUCUUGCUUACCUCAUUGGUUCGAAGCAGCAUCUGGCUGUUACUUUCUUUUUCCUCGUUACGACUCAACUAUAACCUGGGAAUGCCCGACAUAAAAUGCUCGGCCUCGUAAGGCAACUCUUCGGGCUUCUCAACCUCAGGCCUCAUGACGACAGCGCGGAUCCUGUAGGACUUUGGCGACUCCACCGUGUCUGAGCGGCUUGGACAACCCGAGCCUCUCCUCCCCCUGCCUGAGCAGAGACAGUUACAUGUCCUCCCAGCCCCAGCUGCGACUUGAGGUGUCAUACAUCAGUGGCUACGUGCGGACUCACUUGGUUCAACGUUUCUGUCCGAGUAGCCCACGAGUGCCAUCUUAUCAGAGGAUCAAUUUUAUAGCACAGGGUCAUUAAAUUCUUUUUCAUGAGAACAAAAUGGGCUUCCGCUGCCGCAUGUACCGCUGCUCGUCUGAAACUAGAGAGGAAAUCAAAGUGGAAGAGAUUUAACCAAAUUAUCCAUCUUCAGAAAAUAAGCUCCACUGCAAAUGUAUUUUUGAUGUGGCGUUGUGCGACACAGAGAGGAGAAAUAAAAACACCCUAAUGGUCCCGUUAUACGCAGGCGGGAGGAGGCUGUGAACUUAACCCCUCUGUGCAAGCAGGGCUUCCCGCUCCAUCCUGUUGGCAGGUGCGGGUGGUGGGGAGUUUGCUGGGUGAAGGACAAAGGUCUAAAGCUCAGGAUGGACCGAGGGCCCGUUGAGUUGGACGUUCGUUUUGUGUCUUUUUCCAGAAGAAGACCACACACGGGGGAGGCUUUUCAGCUUCUCUGAGGGUUUCAGUACCUUAAAGGGAGGUCCAUCCUGAACGGUGUGGUCGCCCCUCACAUCCCGAGACCGGCCUUCUCCCGUGGGAUUUCCCACCAGCCCGGGAAGAACGUUCAGCAGCCUCCGUACCCCACCUGGCCGGCCUGCGCCAAAUCCCUGCUCUUCCCAGUGGGGCCCGUGCCCAGCAAAUCCACUGUGGCCAGAGGGUUUGUUUUUGUCGUGGCAUUGCUUGCGGUCAGUGUUCCUGAGAUGCGUUUCUUCUGGCAGUAACUUGGGCAGUUGCAAGAGCAGGGCAGCAUGUGUGGGGGGAGUUGAGCACAGGAAAGGCAACUGGGGCCCCUCGUCU